GACGAACGCUGGCGGCGUGCCUAAUACAUGCAAGUAGGACGCAGUUGCGAACGUGUGUGUAACGCGUAUGUAACUACCUAUUAGAGGGGGAUAACUAUUGGAAACGAUAGCUAAUACCGCAUACUAGUAGAUGGACCUGCGUUGUAUUAGCUAGUAGGUAGGGUAAUGGCCUACCUAGGCAACGAUACAUAGCCGGCCUGAGAGGGUGGUCGGCCACAAUGGGAAUGGGACACGGCCCAGACUCCUUCGGGAGGCAGCAGGAGGGAAUCUUCGGAAAUGGGGGGAAACCUGACCGAGCAACGCCGCGUGAGGGAAGAAGGGUUUCGGAUCGUAAAGCUCUGUUGUUAAGGAAGCGGUACUUAACCAGAAAGGGACGGCUAACUACGUGCCAGCCGCCGCGGUAAUAC
rnacentral:rRNA from 1 species